rnacentral:rRNA from 1 species
AUUGAACGCUGGCGGAAUGCUUUACACAUGCAAGUCGAACGGCAGCACGGGGCAACCUGGUGGCGAGUGGCGAACGGGUGAGUAAUACAUCGGAACGUGCCCAAUCGUGGGGGAUAACGUAGCGAAAGUUACGCUAAUACCGCAUACGAUCUACGGAUGAAAGCGGGGGAUCGCAAGACCUCGCGCGAAUGGAGCGGCCGAGGUCAGAUUAGGUAGUUGGUGGGGAAAAGGCUCACCAAGCCAACGAUCUGUAGCUGGUCUGAGAGGACGACCAGCCACACUGGGACUGAGACACGGCCCAGACUCCUACGGGAGGCAGCAGUGGGGAAUUUUGGACAAUGGGCGCAAGCCUGAUCCAGCCAUUCCGCGUGCAGGAUGAAGGCCUUCGGGUUGUAAACUGCUUUUGUACGGAACGAAACGGCUCUCUCUAAUACAGGGGGCUAAUGACGGUACCGUAAGAAUAAGCACCGGCUAACUACGUGCCAGCCGCCGCGGUAAAAC